rnacentral:rRNA from 1 species
UGGGGAAUUUUGGACAAUGGGCGAAAGCCUGAUCCAGCAAUGCCGCGUGUGUGAAGAAGGCCUUCGGGUUGUAAAGCACUUUUGUCCGGAAAGAAAUCCUUGGCUCUAAUACAGUCGGGGGAUGACGGUACCGGAAGAAUAAGCACCGGCUAACUACGUGCCAGCAGCCGCGGUAAUACGUAGGGUGCAAGCGUUAAUCGGAAUUACUGGGCGUAAAGCGUGCGCAGGCGGUUUGCUAAGACCGAUGUGAAAUCCCCGGGCUCAACCUGGGAACUGCAUUUGGUGACUGGCAGGCUAGAGUAUGGCAGAGGGGGGUAGAAUUCCACGUGUAGCAGUGAAAUGCGUAGAGAUGUGGAGGAAUACCGAUGGCGAAGGCAGCCCCCUGGGCCAAUACUGACGCUCAUGCACGAAAGCGUGGGGAGCAAACAGGAUUAGAUACCCCUGGUAGUCCACGCCCUAAACGAUGUCAACUAGUUGUUGGGGAUUCAUUUCCUUAGUAACGUAGCUAACGCGUGAAGUUGACCGCCUGGGGAGUACGGUCGCAAGAUUAAAACUUAAAGGAAUUGACGGGGUCAUAGCUGUUUCCU